rnacentral:misc_RNA from 1 species
GAUGAAGAACGUAGCGAAAUGCGAUAAGUAAUGUGAAUUGCAGAAUUCAGUGAAUCUUCGAAUCUUUGAACGCACAUUGCGCCCCCUGGUAUUCCGGGGGGCAUGCCUGUUCGAGCGUCAUUUCACCACUCAAGCCUCGCUUGGUAUUGGGCAACGCGGUCCGCCGCGUGCCUCAAAUCGACCGGCUGGGUCUUCUGUCCCCUAAGCGUUGUGGAAACUAUUCGCUAAAGGGUGUUCGGGAGGCUACGCCGUAAAACAACCCCAUUUCUAAGGUUGACCUCGGAUCAGGUAGGGAUACCCGCUGAACUUAAGCAUAUCAAUAAGCGGAGGA